UACAGAGGUCCCAAGCGUUGUUCGGAUUCAUUGGGCGUAAAGGGUGCGUAGGUGGCGCCGUAAGUCAGGUGUGAAAUCUCGGGGCUUAACUCCGAAACUGCAUUUGAUACUGCGGUGCUUGAGGACUGGAGAGGAGACUGGAAUUUACGGUGUAGCAGUGAAAUGCGUAGAGAUCGUAAGGAAGACCAGUGGCGAAGGCGGUCUCUGGACAGUUCCUGACACUGAGGCACGAAGGCCAGGGAGCAAACGGG
rnacentral:rRNA from 1 species